rnacentral:rRNA from 1 species
GAUGAACGCUGGCGGCGUGCCUAAUACAUGCAAGUCGAGCGAACAGACGAGGAGCUUGCUCCUCUGACGUUAGCGGCGGACGGGUGAGUAACACGUGGAUAACCUACCUAUAAGACUGGGAUAACUUCGGGAAACCGGAGCUAAUACCGGAUAAUAUAUUGAACCGCAUGGUUCAAUAGUGAAAGACGGUUUUGCUGUCACUUAUAGAUGGAUCCGCGCCGCAUUAGCUAGUUGGUAAGGUAACGGCUCACCAAGGCAACGAUGCGUAGCCGACCUGAGAGGGUGAUCGGCCACACUGGAAAUGAGGAGCGGGCGAGACUGGUACGGGAGGCAGCAGUAGGGAAGCGGCCGCAAUGGGCGAAAGCCUGACGGAGCAACGGCGCGUGAGUGAUGAAGGUCUGCGGAGCGUAAAACGCUGUGAGGAGGGAAGAACAAAUGUGGAAGGAACGAGGCACGUCUGGAGGGGAGCGAAGCAGAAAGCGACGGGUAACGACG